CUACCACUUCAUCAUCACUACUGCUGUUACCACCACCAUUUGCUGCUCCAUUCAAGUUGAUAUCAUCCAUCAUCUCAGAUGGUGAGGUGCUCAUAGGUGCCGCACCAAUUCUAUCAUCUUGGAAAGCAAACCAGUUGGAAUUCGUAAAUAAACUGCUGUAGCAUAGGAAACAAACACAUUGGAAAUUCCAACAAAAUUAGAUACAAACUAACAAUCUGAAGUUUGUCAUAUGCUGAGCUAUCAACACACUACUAGGACGGGGGAGGGGGGAGUAGAUAUCGAUGUGAAUCUCAGGUAUAUAUAAACCCCAAAUGAUAGUUAAACACCAUCCAACAAAGAAAUACUUGUCAUUCAGCCCUACUUGCCGACAUCAUUUCACUAAUUUCAAGUAUGCUCCUAAAUGGCAACGAACAAGACUCACCUGCCUUGAUCAUCACCGAGCCUCAGGGAUGAUAUUACAACUUCAGCAGAUUCAUCAUCAAAAUAAGCACCCUGCGUAAUAAAUAAAAAAAAAUUAACAGAUUUCAUUAAACACUUAUUUUUUAAAUUUUUAAUUUUUUGGCCCAAGAAUAUUUAUAGAAUGGAAAGAUGAUCAAGAAUCUUUGUUCCUCACAUAUUUUUCCAUUAAAAAAUUUAAACGCAUGUGUAGUCACCCUUCAAAUUUUCAUCCAUUAUAUGGAGGGAACUGAGUACAUUUAUUAAGAAAAUUGCAGAAUAUAAUAUUACCUCGUCAUCGCGUUCAAGAGCUCCAUGGCCCUGCAAUUAGGAUGACCAGCAUGAGAUAAAUCAUAUUAAUACAAAAAGGAAAAAAGAUACAGAUAUACAGAGGGAGAGGGAUAAAAAUAAAAAUAAAUUUAACAAAAUAAUCCAUAUCAAUUGUAUUAGAAAGAGGAAAGAGAUUUAUUUAACAAAGUUGAGAUAAAAUCUUGAAACUCUCAUAUCAAUUGUAAAGAUUAUGUAUGUAUAAUAUAUGAAAAUAGAAAAUAUAUGAUGUGUAUGUGUUACUGUUAAUAUAUGAUUAUGCAUGUAUAAUAUAUGAAAUUACUGUUAAUUUUUGAAAAUAUAUAAAAGAUUACAUGUUAAGGGUAUGGGAGAGUUUAAUAAAUAAAAGAAAAUAAGAUUACUGUUAAAGUUUGACAAUUGGAUGUUUACUUUUGAAUCGGUUAACGUAAAGUUGUGAAUAAAGGAAGAAAAAGACAAGUAAAUAAGUAGAAGUUGGACGGUGUGCAUUGAAAAGAACGAAGCAGAAGUCUGAGCACACUAAUUUUAUUAUUUUAAUAAUAUAGUAUAACUUUUAUAAAUUAAUAUUUGAUAAAUUAAUAAAUUUUUUUAAAUAAUAUUUUUUUCAGUCUCAGCUUUGGCUAAUGGAAUAAAUUAAUAAUUUUAAUAAAAUAAUAAUUUUUAAAAGACUUAUAUAAAUAUAUUGUAAGACCCCAACUUUUAUAAAUAAAAUAUUUACUUUAAAUUUGGUAGAAUUGAGGAGAAGACAAGACAUGAAAACAAAAAGCAAGCAAUAUAUUUUAAAAAAGAGUUUUGUGGUCAUGUGUGGUAGGACAAGCAAUAUAUUGUAUCUUCAUCACUUUGCUGACCAUUGUAUGUAUAAUAUAUGAUUAUGAUUAUGUGUUUAGACUAAUAAACUACUAUAGGAAAUACUAAGAUAGAUGUGUAUAUAUGACAUAGUAAUUACAAAUGGGAGAUUCUCAACAAGGAAAUAACAAAGGAAAGGGAAAAAAUGUUGGAACUUAUAAUUCGUGGACAUUAGAAGAGAGCAAUGAGUUGCUACAACUCAUGGUUGAUGCUGCAGUUCGUGGAUGGCGUGAUAGUAAUGGAAUGCUAAGUAAGCAAACAGUUGAGAAAAAGAUACUUCUUGCUCUUAAUCAAAAAUUUGGCUGCCAAAGAACAUACUCACAGUACCUAAGUCAACUGAAAUGGUUUAAGAAUCGUUAUCUUGUUUUUCAUUUUAUUUAUUUGAUCUUAGAUCCUACAUUUCAUAAUAAUUUUUUAAAUGGCAUAUAAUUAGGAAAAUUUUUCUUGGUGGAUUGUAGAUUUCCAAAUCGGCGCCAAUUUUUAGCUCCUUUUCGAGGUGUUCGAUAUCAUCUUCAAGAUUUUGCUGGCCAGGGUCGUGACCCCGAAAAUGUAAUCGAGUUGUUCAAUCUUCGUCAUGCUUCCUUAAGGAACGUGAUUAAGAGAAUAUUUGGUAUAUUUAAAUCGAGAUUCACAAUUUUCAAGUCUGCACCUCCAUUUCCUUAUAAAACUCAAGCUGAGCUUGUACUAACUUGUGUAGGACUCCACAAUUUUCUUCGUAAGGAGUGUCAUUCAGAUGAAUUUCCUAUUGAACUAGAUAACGAGUCUUCACUAUCUUCAUCGUUACCACUCAAUCAAUGAGAUAAUUUGGAACAAGUUUUUGAAACUCAAGAGCAACAACGAGAGAAUGCUAAUGAAUGGAGGACUAGUAUAGCUUCUGACACUUGUUAGUGGUUUGCUCACAUGUAUGAAGUUUUGCAACUUUUGACAUAUAGAUUUUUAUUGUCAUAUUAUUUUGUGAAAAACAGAGUUUGGUAUUCCUACUAAAAUGAGAUUUACUUUAGUUCAUGAAAAAAGAGAGAGAUGUUGUACACAUGGGCUAAUUAACAAUUAAUAUAAGUUGCAAGAUAUAUUAGAAGUAUACAAAAGUCUAUCACAAUCUUGAUAAAAAGUUUAUAAAAGUUUGUUACUUAUUUCAUAGAGUCUAUAAAAGUCAUUUUAAAAGAGUCUUUAAAGUCUUUGAAAGUCAUUAAAAUCCCACAAAUUCUACAAAAGUAUGUCACAUAAAAAAAGUCUUUAAAAAUCCUAAUUGAAUACACCCCCCUUAAUGUGAGAAUUACCCCAUAAUUUUUUCCUAACAUGUUGUACGUGAAGGGUAGGAAAUGUAGUGAAAUGAUUAUCAUAUACCAUAAAUCCCAGUUUGGUUACCAUUUUUAUUUUUUCUUGUUUUGAUAUUUAUUUCCACCUUUUGUUUUCUAAAGUUGUACUUACAUUUGAAGUGCACAAACUCUCUAAAAUGUAUUUCAUAUUAGGUGAAUUUCAUCACUUAUAAAACAUUUCAUAUUUUCAUUGUCAUGGCCGGCAGCAUAUAUUAAUGGUGUCUCUAGUUAGAAUAUGAUUUUUGUGGUCAUAUGAGUCCAGAAGCAUUAUUAAUCUUUGACUUUAUUGGAAUGGCUUUUUGCUGUUGUAGAAUGAAUUCCCCCACUUGCUGAUCUUUGGUUCAAACGGCAUCCAAAAAUUGUAACUUUAAUUGAUGUGGUGCGUGUAGUGGGGUUUGUUAGUUGGACUAAGGGGCCUAAUUCUUGUAAUUACCUAUUUUAUUAUUUUAUAUGAAGGAGCCUACACUGAAUUAAUUAUUUAUGUUUUCAUUUUUUUGCAGGAUAUUUUAAGAAAAUCUGAUAUUUCUGUAUGCUAAAAUGAUAUUUGUAUGAGUCUCUCACGUGAAGGUGAAGGUGAGACCAACUCGAUUUCACAUAAAAGUGGAAUCCACUCGAUCUCACAUAAAACUUGAAAAUCCAAAAGCUGGUCUUAUGUGAGUUUGAGAACAUAUUUGACCAUCCCCAUAUUUGACAAAACCCUUCAUUAAAUUUAUAUUCACAAUAAAUAGUUCUAUGUCAUGCUUUUUAUUUUCGUUAGUAAAAACAAAAACAUUGGUUCAAGUAUAUAUAAUAUUCAAGUGAAUUUUUAGAACAUUGACAAAAUAGGAGAGGAUCCUAAUGAAGAGGAACCAAGUCUCCAUAUAACAAUACAAUUGCAACUGCAUUAGACUUGAUCAAAUAUAUCAAUAAAUUGCAGAUGAAAAAACACUCCAAAAUUAUCUAUUACAUUUUGUUAGUAUUAUAUCUAAAUGCACCUCCCUUGAUAAUAGAAUCCUCUUAUAUAUGACCCAAAAAUACAUAGAAAAAUAAUAUAUACUGCGAAUAUUUAUAUUGAUUGUUUGAUUACCAAUUAUAUGGAUAAAUUUUAGUGAUAAUUUUUUUUUUUUAAAAAUGUGUAAUAAGUGGGGUUCUUCUANNNNNNNNNNNNNNNNNNNNNNNNNNNNNNNNNNNNNNNNNNNNNNNNNNNNNNNNNNNNNNNNNNNNNNNNNNNNNNNNNNNNNNNNNNNNNNNNNNNNUCACAAAUAUAUAUAUAUAUAUAUAUAUAUAUAUAUAUAUAUAUAUAUAUAUAUAUAUUAUAUUGAAAAAUUAAUUUCCUUGGAUUUAUCCUGUCAAAUUUACAUAAUCACUAAUUUUUUACUGAAAAAAAUAUAUUAUCAAUGUAUCAAAUUUAAAUUUAAAUUUAAAUAUUAAACUCGUACCAAAUAAAAGCUUAACCUUAUCUAAUAUAUAAGGGCGAAGGAUAAUUUUAUGAUAAAUAAAGUUUUAUGAUAGUAAUAUUUUUAAAUUUUAUUUCAUCCCUAAAUAAUUUGUUUGCCUAGACUAGACUAGACUAGUGUCAGUUAAGAAGAAGGUGGAGGUACAAGGCAAAGUCUUAACCAUAUAUAUAAAUAGUAAAGUUGAUAGGAAAGCAAACGACGACAGAGAUUUGUAGCUUCCGUGCGGCGGAGCUGUUGUAUGUAGGUCACAUUCCUACGUGUACGGUCAAGAUUCCUUUUGUCAGUUUCCUAUAAUUAUAUCUGCACAAAAGUUGUCUACAUUUCUUGACAACUUCUCACAUAUAGUAUAGGUCCCAUUUAUUAUUUACAUCACAAAAAUCUUAUAAAUUUUAGUAAUGAUUAUAUUGACAGAGUAAUAAAUAUCCUUAAAUGUUGUAAAAAUAUCAUUAAAUACAUAUUUGUUUUGAAAGCAUAAAUAUUACUCUAACAAGGAUGGCCUAAUACAAUUAAUAUUUUAUCUAAUGACUUCAAUCUUAUUAACUAUGUUCGGAGGAUCUCAACCGUGACAGUCCUAAAAUAGUUAAUAUGAAGCUGAUAUUUCUGUGUAAAAAUGAUAUUUUAACACUCUCUCACAACUAACUCACCGUACAUAAAAAAUUAUGUAAAAAAUAAUUAUGUGAUUCUCUAAUUUAUAUUUAUAUUUUUGAAUGAUUAUAUAUACAUGAAAUAUAAAUAGUAGUACAAAACUAUUUAACUAUUUAUAUUUAUGAGGACCUCUAAUCACAUGAUAUCUACCCAAAUUCAUUUGAGAUUACUCUUAAAACAAUUGACAAGCAUUUUGAGACAUUUGAAGGUUCCACACAUCUUUUUUGGCCUUCUUCUAGAGCGAGUGCCUUGAAGUUCAUCUUCACGAGGCCUCUGUAAUGAAUGAUACAUUUUGGCAGCCGCAUCUUGUUCAUCUACAUGAUGCUGUUAGAUUGCCAAUAUGAUGUUGAGUACUAUCGGACAAUAAUUUGGAUUUUAAUAUUAUUAUUAUUAUUAUUAUUGCUGAAUGAGACUUGUGAUUACCAAACAAACACAUGCAACAAUAAAUUAACCAUAUUCAGGCUAAUGCAAGAAAUAGUAUAAUUACAGAAUAAAUACAGAAGUAAACUCGCAAAUUAAAUCUCAAACUGCAAAAUAAGAACCUAAAUAAGUGUCGCAAUAAAUAAUCAGUAACAACCAUAGCAUAAGCCUAAAGCUAGUUAAUAACAAUAUUGAAACAAAAAUACUGUACAUAUAUGUCUGCUGUGGAAGACCACUGAACAGAAAUGGCAGAUGGGCCACAACCUACCACCAUAUCAAUCAAACUUUGAGGUCAAACAACCAAACACAAGUAACCAAUUUUUACUCCAAUACUGCAACCUCUUGAUCAACCCUCCAGUAGUUGGCAUCAUUAAAUUCUUUCAUUCCCACCCCCCUGUCGUCUGAAUUCUCCUUCUCCGGCAUCUUUGGAACAAUGUUCCUUUUCAAUGGCCCUGCUUCCCCAACAAUGCCCUCCUUCAGGGCCUGGUUCAUUGCCUUCUCCGUGCCCUCUAAUUCAACCCCGACAAAUUCAACAUCUUCUUCAAACAAGGAGGGAACUGCGGCUGCCCUUUGGCUUGAAUCAGAUCCUAACAACCCGUCUUUAGAAUUUGUGCUAGUUGAGGUACCAUUCCGUAAAAUUCCUCCGCUUGAAGUGGAACUAAUGGGUGCGGGCUCUGCCUCAACGCUGGAGUUAUAAUCCUCAAAUGGGUUCACACUUGAUCCAACUGUGAAAUCAGAUGACUCACCCCAUCCCACCCAUUCAGGUAUAGGCCUAUCUCCAAACAGAUCAUCACUGGCAGCUGUUUCAAACCGGAAGAAGCCUGUGUCACCAUAAGGACUAGGCUUCUCAUUUUGGGGAUCCAAGUCUCCGGUAUUUAUUGAUGUAGUCCGGUUAAGUCCAUUUUCGGUGUUGUUGGAACUGGAUGUAACAAUAGCAGGGCUUUUGCUUUCAGCCAACUCCUCGUCCUCCCCAACUACCACUUCAUCAUCACUACUGCUGUUACCACCACCAUUUGCUGCUCCAUUCAAGUUGAUAUCAUCCAUCAUCUCAGAUGGUGAGGUGCUCAUAGGUGCCGCACCAAUUCUAUCAUCUUGGAAAGCAAACCAGUUGGAAUUCGUAAAUAAACUGCUGUAGCAUAGGAAACAAACACAUUGGAAAUUCCAACAAAAUUAGAUACAAACUAACAAUCUGAAGUUUGUCAUAUGCUGAGCUAUCAACACACUACUAGGACGGGGGAGGGGGGAGUAGAUAUCGAUGUGAAUCUCAGGUAUAUAUAAACCCCAAAUGAUAGUUAAACACCAUCCAACAAAGAAAUACUUGUCAUUCAGCCCUACUUGCCGACAUCAUUUCACUAAUUUCAAGUAUGCUCCUAAAUGGCAACGAACAAGACUCACCUGCCUUGAUCAUCACCGAGCCUCAGGGAUGAUAUUACAACUUCAGCAGAUUCAUCAUCAAAAUAAG
rnacentral:lncRNA from 1 species